GCCAGGUAUGGUGGCGCAUGCCUGUAAUCCCAGUGACUCAGGAAGCUGAAGCAAGAGGAUCGCAAGUUCACAUUCAGCCUUAGUGACUUAGUGAGGCCCUAAGCAACUUAGUGAGACCCUGUCUCAA
rnacentral:sRNA from 1 species